rnacentral:rRNA from 1 species
ACUCCUGCGGGAGGCAGCAGUGGGGAAUUUUGGACAAUGGGCGAAAGCCUGAUCCAGCAAUGCCGCGUGUGUGAAGAAGGCCUUCGGGUUGUAAAGCACUUUUGUCCGGAAAGAAAUCCUUGGCUCUAAUACAGUCGGGGGAUGACGGUACCGGAAGAAUAAGCACCGGCUAACUACGUGCCAGCAGCCGCGGUAAUACGUAGGGUGCGAGCGUUAAUCGGAAUUACUGGGCGUAAAGCGUGCGCAGGCGGUUUGCUAAGACCGAUGUGAAAUCCCCGGGCUCAACCUGGGAACUGCAUUGGUGACUGGCAGGCUAGAGUAUGGCAGAGGGGGGUAGAAUUCCACGUGUAGCAGUGAAAUGCGUAGAGAUGUGGAGGAAUACCGAUGGCGAAGGCAGCCCCCUGGGCCAAUACUGACGCUCAUGCACGAAAGCGUGGGGAGCAAACAGGAUUAGAAACCCUGGUAGUCCCAUG